AAAAAGUGAAGUCACAGAACAAAACAAAAACUCUCUCUUCAAACUGCUGUCUCUCCCUGCCGUGUGAGGACAACAGUGGGAAAGCAGCUAUCUGCAAGCCAAGAAGAAAGCUCCAACCAGAACCCAGGCAUGCUGGCACCCACAUCUCAGAUGUUUAUCUUCCAGAACUCCGACUUGGAUGACCUUAAUUUUACCUACGCCAUGGUAUAAAUUUUCGCUGAGAUCUUUAUCUCAUCCUGAAACCAAUUAGCACAUGAGUUUCGGCAGAAGACUCUACAGCAAUUUAAUACACACCUUGGAAGAAAAGGAAACACUGAUGGAAAUGAAGACUGUCUCAAAACCAACCGAACAGGUGUGCAUUUCCAUAAUGGCUACGCAGUUCAGCCCCAUAGUAGCGUCUGCGCCUUUUGCUUGUGAACCGAAUUAGUAAUCUUCACGUGGCCUGUCCCAGUGAUUGAAAUAAAUUACUUUGUUAAAUUGCGAAGCAGGUUGACCCAUCUGUUGGCCCACGAAUGUUCAGAUUCUCAGAGGGUUUAUUAUUCCAAAUAAUGACUGCCAUAUGCAGCGGUAAACAGUUCUUUUAAAACCGACUGAAGGAUUUGGUGCGACUGUUGAAGGCAAUUUAUAAAGCUUUUCGUGUUCUCCUAAAGGAUCUGCCCUUCAACUAACUUCCACGAAAGUUGUCUUGAGUGGUUAAUCCUCGUGAGAAACCUUGUUCUCUUUGGAGAGGAAAGAGGGCAGGGAGAGCAGAAACGUCUGUUCUGGGAGCACCCACUGUGUGCUGGGGGCGAGCAGGUACACGAGCCCUGCUCCGUGGAGGCUGUGCCACUGAUGUUAAUAACCCAGAGAAAACGGGACAUCCGAGAGGACAAGCCGCGCAUCCAAAGACAAAUGCUAAGGUGCAAACAGGGACUCAGAUCCAGCCCACUGACUCUAAGACGCACUGCACAAUUUCCGCCCGGCCCGAGCGUUUACACUGAGCGGCACGCUGAGCGUGCUGUGCCCUCGCAAUCCCAAACUGUGAGAGAACAGGGGUGUCACUCUCCUGGUUCUGCAGGCAACGCCGUUCUGAGGAUGCUUCUUUCAUUUGCUCCAUCUCUCUAAGAAAGAUGGAUCUCCUUUAAGGGGGAGAGGGCAGGGCUUUGAACUCCCAUUGGCAAGAAUCUACUAGGAAUGUCUUAAAGACAAAAAUCUGGGGGUCUUCUUUGCAUAUGUGGCUUUCCUUCCUUUAGGUCAUCCUCCUGUUCUAACCUCAGGGGAAGAUGCGUGCUCUGCUCACACAGGGUCCACGGACCAGCCAUGAUUCGUUCAUGAUGUUCACGGUGACUCGCCGUGGCCAGAUCACAGAUGGCAAAUUGCUGCGGGAUGGCCCGGAGCCAGCACGUGGUCGGCUCUUCUGGUAUUCAACAGCAGUAUUAAUCACGUGUGGAAAGGCAUUUUCCCCCCUCUGUGAAAAAUGAAAUGGCUAAUAUACAGGAUGGAAUGAGUGCCCUGGAACAAUUCCUUUCUAAACGGGAAAAGAAUAAAGCUAUUAAAAGAA